rnacentral:rRNA from 1 species
UACGUAGGGUGCGAGCGUUAAUCGGAAUUACUGGGCGUAAAGCGUGCGCAGGCGGUUAUUUAAGUCAGGUGUGAAAGCCCUGGGCUUAACCUAGGAAUUGCGCUUGAGACUGGAUAGCUUGGAGUGCGGCAGAGGGAGGUGGAAUUCCACGUGUAGCAGUGAAAUGCGUAGAGAUGUGGAGGAACACCGAUGGCGAAGGCAAUCCCCUGGGCCUGCACUGACGCUCAUGCACGAAAGCGUGGGGAGCAAACAGG